rnacentral:rRNA from 1 species
UACGUAGGGUGCAAGCGUUAAUCGGAAUACUGGGCGUAAAGCGUGCGCAGGCGGUGAUGUAAGACCGAUGUGAAAUCCCCGGGCUUAACCUGGGAACUGCAUUGGUGACUGCAUUGCUGGAGUAUGGCAGAGGGGGGUGGAAUUCCACGUGUAGCAGUGAAAUGCGUAGAGAUGUGGAGGAACACCGAUGGCGAAGGCGGCAUCCUGGACCGGCAUUGACGCUGAGUGAGCGAAGCUAGGGAGCAAACGGG